rnacentral:rRNA from 1 species
CCCUCGACCUUAGUUGCCAGCAUUCAGUUGGGCACUCUAAGGUGACUGCCGGCUAAAAGUCGGAGGAAGGUGGGGAUGACGUCAAAUCAUCAUGCCCCUUAUGACCUGGGCUACACACGUGCUACAAUGGGCGGUACAAAGGGUCGCGAACCCGCGAGGGGGAGCCAAUCCCAAAAAGCCGCUCUCAGUUCGGAUUGCAGGCUGCAACUCGCCUGCAUGAAGCCGGAAUCGCUAGUAAUCGCGGAUCAGCAUGCCGCGGUGAAUACGUUCCCGGGCCUU